CAGCAGCCACGGUAAUACGAAGGGGGCUAGCGUUGUUCGGAAUUACUGGGCGUAAAGCGCACGUAGGCGGAUAUUUAAGUUAGGGGUGAAAUCCCAGAGCUCAACUCUGGAACUGCCUUUGAUACUGGGUAUCUUGAGUAUGGAAGAGGUUAGUGGAAUUGCGAGUGUAGAGGUGAAAUUCGUAGAUAUUCGCAGGAACACCAGUGGCGAAGGCGGCUAACUGGUCCAUAACUGACGCUGAGGUGCGAAAGCGUGGGGAGCAAACAGGAUUAGAUACCCCUGUAGUCCCUGUCUCUUAUAU
rnacentral:rRNA from 1 species